UACGUAGGGGGCUAGCGUUGUCCGGAUUUAUUGGGCGUAAAGAGCGUGUAGGCGGCCAGGUAGGUCUGGUGUGAAAACUCGAGGCUUAACCUCGAGAUGUCAUCGGAAACCAUCUGGCUAGAGUCCGGGAAGAGGGAGAGUGGAAUUCCUGGUGUAGGCGGUGAAAUGCGCAGAUAUCAGGAAGAACACCCAUGGCGAAGGCGGCUCUCUGGACGGUACUGACGCUGAGACGCGAAGCGUGGAGCAACAGGAUUAGAU
rnacentral:rRNA from 1 species